AUAUUUAAUAAAAACAUGAUUAUUUGGUUGGGGUGAUUAGAAAAUUUAAUUAACUUUUGUUUUAUUAUAACAUAUAUUUAUGAAUAUUUGAUCCACUCUUAGUGAUUAUAAGAUUAAAUUACCUUAGGGAUAACAGCGUAAUUUUUUUAGCGAGUUCUUAUCAAUAAAAAAGUUUGCGACCUCGAUGUUGGAUUAAAAUUAACUUUCGGUGCAGUAGUUGAAAAGUUAGGUCUGUUCGACCUUUAAAAUUUUACAUGAUCUGAGUUUAAACCGGUGUGAGCCAGGUUGGAUUCUAUCUUUAAAUUAUUUAAAUGGUUUAGUACGAAAGGGCCCACCAUUUGUAAUAUUUACUUUAUUGAGAAUAAAA
rnacentral:rRNA from 1 species